rnacentral:rRNA from 1 species
AUUGAACGCUGGCGGCAGGCCUAACACAUGCAAGUCGAACGAGUGGCGGACGGGUGAGUAAUGUCUGGGAAACUGCCCGUUGGAGGGGGAUAACUACUGGAAACGGUAGCUAAUACCGCAUACCAUCGGAUGUGCCCAGAUGGGAUUAGCUGGUAGGUGGGGUAACGGCUAACCUAGGCGACGAUCCCUAGCGGGUCUGAGAGGAUGACCGCAAACACUGGAACGAGAACACGGUCCAGCCUCCGACGGAAGGCAGCAGUGGGGAAUAUUGCACAAGGGGGGAAGGCCUGAUGCAGACAUGCCGCGUGUAUAAAGAAGGCCUUCGGGUUGUAAAGUACUUUCAGCGGGGAGGCGUUACUCGCAGAAGAAGCACCGGCUAACUCCGUGCCAGCAGCCGCGGUAAUAC